AUCUAUUAGUAGGCUAUAUCCAAUACAUGAUUUCGCACCAUUAAUCAAACGUUGUUAUCCGCUAUGUUUCUACAUCUAUGAAGUCAACAACUCGUGUUACAACAUUUUCUCAGACUAUCCGACUUGUUGUUUAUCUUCAGGGCGGGUUCACGUGAAUUUUCCAAGUCGGGUAAUCAUUUCUCCGAUUAUUCCGACACCCCAUGAAUGCACAGUAACGCUUCACACUUCGGAUCUCUGUUGUUUUCUGGACGAAAUCAAGUAUGGCUGUCCUGUGCUGGAUGGCUGUGAAACUGGCCUUGUUGAUGUCUGCAGGAAACUGUUUGGCUGCUGUUGUGGACCAGAACCAACUUGUAGGAAUUGUAGAUGAUAUUGUGAACAGGUACAGGCCAAGCUACAAGAAUCCAGAUGGCAGUCAAACAUUCCCAAUGUUCAGUCUGGCUGUGAGCAUCCCAUACAACAAUACUAUGAAAAAGUAUGAUGUCAAUCAAGUCCUUGACAAUGCUGAACAAGUGAGGAACACGAUUGUAAACUGUGACGUUUACAGGGGCACGAGGGUGGUUGCAGCUACACUUCUAAAGUGGCCCAAUGUUCUGAAUCAGUGUCCUAGUGGACUUGUGUCAUGGCGUCAUGUUCUGAGACAAUGUCCCAGUGUUGUGACAUGGGAUGAUUUACAGAGAGUGUGCCCUGGUGCCAUUCGCGAUGGUACAGCUGAUCACCGAGUACCGUACACUGCAGCACUUUAACACCUUGGUCAACAAUAGUGACAAAGAUGAUUUGUUGCUUUUUUAUGUUUAUGCCUCCCCCUGUGCAGCAAGAUGUACAAACGCCAAGGUGAUCCCAUGCUUGUGGAGGACCUAAAGGGAGCCCUUAUGCAGCUUGGGACAUCAGUCGGUCUUGACAACAUAUUCCGUUGUGACAGAGUACGUGGUUGGACAGGUUGUACCAUUUGCUCUUCUCGUGGUCAAAUUACACCUCAGUGUUUAUCAGACGAACCAUAACCUAGUCUCAGCCACCCUCAUGUGACCUCCACUUUAGGUUGAGGUCAGGUGAUGGAGGUGGCAGGAGGGAAGAUAAUUUCUAAGGACUGCUGUGAUUCAGGUCACAUAGAUUUGCAGGGAUGUGAAAAGUAUACUGCCCCACAGCUGUCAUAAUGAAAUGUUUUAUUAGUUAUUAGACUAAAUCACCAUUGUUAAGAACAUCAGGUAACUGGGCAACAAGUUAAAGAAAAAGUAUUCAUGUUGUGUACUGAAAGGUAGUCUGUCAAGGUUUUGACCUCUAAAAGGGUGAAAGAGCAAUUGAAUUACCAGUGUAAAAAUACUCCAUUACAAGCAAAAGUCAUUCAAAAUUUACUCAAGUAACUUCACAGUAUUUUUUGGAAGAAGGAAAAACAUCGUGUCACUGGGUUGAAAGAUGUAUCUCAGACCUCUGACCACAGCAGGCUGGAUUCCUGUUAAACUUGGUGCCGGUACUUUUAAAGUAAAAGUAAACGUAUUAUCUUCAAAAUGUACUAAAAGUAUCAAAUGUAAAAAUAACAUAAAAAUACACAUUUUAUAAGAGAAUCAUAUGUUUUAUAUACAUAUAUUAUUCAGCAAAAAAAGUACUAUAUUUCCUUCUGAAAUAUAGAAGUACAAUUCAUUGGAAAUACUCAAGUAUAGUAAAAUUACUUAAGUAUUAUACCUAAGUACAGUAAUGAUGUGUGCCACUCCGUCUCAAAAUCUCUGUGCACGUCCCUGUAAAUCUGUUGAUCCACAGCAGUCCCAUAAACCUCCUGCUACUGAGAUAAAAAGAUUCCUUAUGAUUUAAAAGCACUUGUUUCUUUUAGUUGCUAAUCCCCGAUUUAAUGACUCCCAUUUAUGCCAGAGUACAGGUUGGUUCAGGACAGUCAGUAGAGUUAGCAGCAACAAGGACCGAAGUAAUUAAAAUUUCAAGGUUGGGGAUAAAAACAAGUUAAAUCUGAUCCAAGGACCAUAGGCGGAGCGGGGGGUGGCUAAUUGGGCUUAAGCCCUGUGAUGGAAAUUGGAUAUUUUACUCUGUUUACUGUUUCACCCUGCAUGCUCCAUUAUAAUAUACAAAGGUCUCACUGUAUGGUAUUUGAUAUUUUAUCAUGUUUCCACCCAUGGGAAAGAUGCUCAUUAGAGAAGUUUUCUUAUCUGACUGACCUUGAUAGGCCUUUGACUCAGGACAGCUGGUCCCUACUCCCUUGCUCUUCUGCUUCCUGAGUAAUAUAAAGUCACCUGCUCCUUCACUGGCUUUUUGUCUUACACUCUGCAGACUGUUUUGCACUCUGUAAGUUUGUCUGACCCUUUGCAAAGAAUAAAACCCUUAAAAGACGUCUGGAUUGGAAUCUUUAUUUCAGAAGACUCACUAAAGGACAAAUUUUCAUUACAGCCCCGAAUGUUUUGUCAAAAGCCCCGGAUCUGAUGAAGUUCAACUUUGUUUCAUUUCCCCUCCGUCUUUCUGACUGGAGCGGCAAAACAACAGAGCAAAAGCUCUAACACUUGAGUUAAGUGACUGUAUUGCUGCCUAAUUAGAUGUUAUUAGGUGAUAUUAUCUCGCUAUUAGUGAUGUUCGGCUCGUUUCCCUCCUGUGAAGCACUGUUUCAAUACAUUGUACUUGAGCUUGCAUCAAAUGAUCAUAUCAGGGCGUGAUGUUUAGGGCUUAAAGCUCAUAGAAUCAAAACUCUAGUAUCCCAAAAUCUAUUAGAUUUUCAGAAUAAAUUAUUGAUUAUACAGAAAUGUCAACCUGAGAAGAGCUCUUAUCAGCUAAUUAACUCAAAACACCUGCAAAAGUGUCUUAAGCCUUUAAUCUCUCAAUCUGGUUCUGGUGCUCACAAUUAACUUAACCCCAUAUUCAGAAUUUUAUCUAGAUUUGAGAUGCUCCUGUACUAAUGUAACAACAGUAAUAAUAGGCUAAUUUAAUGAAUAUGACUGUCUGAACCUCAUAAAUAUCAACCGUCAGGUUGGGUUAACACUUUUUGACUUUUAUUGCACGCAUGAGACUAAAGUU